UAAGAAACAUGUUAGAUUAGAGAUUUCCUUUUUUAGGACUUCUACUACGAUAGUUAGCCACCUCUUGUUAUGCAACAGCACUUUCUAUUAGCAACCUUUUGUUAUGCUUUUGCCCUCUUCUCUUCUUUGUGAUCUGCUUCUUUUGAGGCGGCAUGUCUUAUCAUACAGGUUCGCGAUCCACCAUGUUUCAAAAUGCAAAAGGACGGUUCGUUUGAUUUCUUUUUAGUAAUGUCUCAUUUUCAUUUGUUGAGAAUGAAAAUACAUUUUGUAUAUAUAUCUAUUUUCUAUUGAUAAAUUGUAUACAUACCAAUACCAUAUUUCAAAGUAUGUAUAAAAUAUCUUGAAGCAAUCCACAUGAUCAGUGAUAAGAUGCAGACUCGCUUACAACAACUGGCUCAAGUUCUUCAAAACAUCUCUGAUUUGCUUAACAGGAAUUGAAAUGUUCAUGUGCAGCAUAUCUUCCAAGAGGGAAACAUAAUGACAGAUUUUAUGGCCAAAUUUAGUUUGAAUCUCCAGGUUUCUUCAAAAUCUUGGGACAUGCCACCUAUAAGAGCUCUCGACAUCGUGCAGCUCGAUCUUCAACCUAUCCUCUAGUUUUCGCUUUUAAUUUUUCCGAUGUGUGAAAAAAGUAGGUAUAGAAUGUAGUUGUAUCAAUGAUGAGUUAAGAUAAUGUACAUCUAAACUAAACACCAUUGAUGCAGAUAGUAAACUCAGGUUUUCAUAGAAAUUCAAGUUCACACACCAACAUGAAAACACAAAACCUUUUGGUAGAAGUUGUUUAUGUUUUCCAACACAUGCACAUCAUAAAGUUUCCUUAAAUUGUUCAUAGUAGUUAAUUAUAUUGUUGUGACAAAGCAUACUUAAUGCUGACAGUGCAUAGAAAUUAAACUCGUAUUAAUAUCGGAGAUGUUUUGCUUUUACUAAAUUGCUUAUUCUUUUCAAUUGUAGAAUAUUAUAGAAGCGUGAAGGAAGAACUUAAAGCUGCACAGAAAAGUUGAGGAAAGUAACAAUGAGGAAAAGCAUGAGCUAUCAUGUUCACAAUAAAAAAAGCAAAGAGAGAAAAAGGUCCUUUCGGAGCAUCUUUGUACCUUAGAUAUGAUUGUUGUUCUUACAAAAUAAAAGUACUUUUAUUUAUAGUGUAACAUUAAUGCAUGACUUAAAAAUAUGCAUAUCACAAGUUUUCAAUUCCAC
rnacentral:lncRNA from 1 species